rnacentral:lncRNA from 1 species
GAAAUUGAAUCGAAGCCACAAACCACAAGGAAAUAAUAAUAAAACGUUGACAAGUCCACCAAGUUAUCCUCUUCCUUAAGUAAACGCAAUUGAAUAUUCCAGCAAGUUUCUAUAUAAAAUGGUUUUAGUAACAACAUAUUAGAGCUAUAGCAAGCCUUGUGUUAGGAGCAUAUAUCUUAGGAAAUUAAGAUGGCGAGAGAGUUCAUAGUUCAUGAUGGUAGUACUGUCCAUUCAGAAGCAGGCUUCCUACUUGAUUCCUCUGAGGCUUUUCUGUUGUUAUGCAUGAUUGUUGUUUCCUUGUCAAUUAUUUCAAUGGUCAUAUUCGCUUGUGGUGAUAGUGGUUCAGGCGGAGGUGGAGGCCGCCGCAGAAAAUCUGGAGGAGGUGGUUGUGGUGGAGGUGGUUGUGGUGGAGGUGAUGGAGGAGGUGGUUGUGGUGGAGGUGGUGGUUGUGGUGGAGGUACUGGAGGAGGUGGUUGUGGUGGAGGUACUGGAGGUGGUUAAAAACUUUUGUGGAGUUAUUUGCAGUCGCCGGGGGGGGGGGGGGGGGUUAAGAUUUCUCAUGCUCUUUGAGCAUUAUUGUUAGCUUUCAUUUAUUUAUUUAAUAAAGUUUCUCAAGCCAUUUUACACAUCCAUCGAGCUUAAAUAGCUUUUAUAAAUCACUUUAAAGCAGCAUUUUGUGCAUUCAAGGUAUGCUAUAGUAUAAAUCUACGAAGUUAACGAAUAAAACAUAUCUUUUUAACAAACCAAUAGUUAAGAUUAAUAAUCAUAUUAUUUAAAUCAUAUCGUUUACAUUUUAAUUUUACUUAUUGACUUGAAUUCCUUGUAUCCUAUUAUAGCAUGGUUUAAUUCUUAACAUUAACAAAACCAAAAUACCGU